AUUGAACGCUGGAGGCAGGCCUAACACAUGCAAGUCGAGCGCGAAAGUUCUUCGGAAUGAGUAAAGCGGCAGACGGGUGAGUAAUACAUGGGAAUCUGCCUGGUAGUGGGGGACAACGUUUCGAAAGGAACGCUAAUACCGCAUACGCCCUACGGGGGAAAGGGGGGGAUCGCAAGACCUCUCGCUAUCAGAUGAGCCCA
rnacentral:rRNA from 1 species